UUAAUAGGGGAUGUUGGUAUUUUUUUAUUUUCAUUUUGUUGUUAAUGUGUUCGAAACACAGCCAAGCAGACAUAUCCCAGUUAGACAGUUUUGGAAUGCCUGCACCAGCGACAUCUCAAUGGGGUAUGUGUUAUUGUAGUCCUAACCCCUCAAAAUCUCUACUGUUGGAACUGUGAUGUUAUCAUGGUGCCUGGGUAACUGGAUCUUGGCUUUGGGCCGACAACAACAAUUACAUAAUAAUGUGCUUUGAAAAAUUAAUGUUGAAUUCAUAGUUCAAGUUUUUUUUUAAAAUCCAGAAACGUAAAAUAAAAUAUUUCGAAAGAAGCUUAUGGAUGUAUUGAAGAAUAGCUGACAAUUAUUGAGUAAUUUUUUUCCACAAAAUUGAACAAUUUGCAUUUAUAGUCACAUCAUCCCAAAAAUGUAUACUGUCAACCAAGAUUUUUUUUAUUAAUGGUCAAUUUCAUAAUCAGGUCAUCUCAGUAGUCACAUUAUGGAUAGCAAGCUCCCACAAAUAUAAAUAAAGUUAUUUUGAAGGGGAUAGUAUUGGUUGGAAAACAAAGGAAAAAUAGUGCCCUUGGAUCAUUUGUCCCAACUGAAAGCAGAUGGGGUCAUGGAAUGAUGUCACAUUUCAAAUAAAAAGUAUUUAUGCAAGAGAAUAUAAGUGUCACUGACCAUUUAUUAUCAGGGUCAGAUUCAGGAUCUUUGGAGAAGGAUCCCAACUCAAAAUGUCACUAUCCAUUUCUGUCCACAGAUACUGCCUGGCCUGUUACUACAGCACUUUGUGUUUUGCUCAAGAUUCCAGCAUCUGCAGUUCCUUGUGAUUCCAAGUUAACUACAAUACUAUCUUAUCCCCUGAAGGAUAGCGCAAGGAGUUUAAAUCUCAUAGGGAAAAUGUCUAGGCACUUUCCACCUAGCAAAAUAACAUGUUUCAUUUUUAUUUGGUUUAAGCAACAACAUUGAUGAUUGCAACAAGUUAAGUGGAAAACUGUUUAGGAAGGAACUCAGAUGCUGGUUUACAUCGAUGAUAGACACAAAAUGCUGGAGUAACUCAGCGGGACAGGUUGCAUUUCUGGAUAGAAGGAAUGGGUGAUGUCUUGGAUUGAGACCCAAAACGUUACCCAUUUCUUCUAUCCAGAGAUGCUGCAUGUCCCGCUGAAUUACUUCAGCAUUUUGAGUCUAUCAACAAAUGGACUGUUUCCCAGUAAGAUACUUUUUGUCUGGGGCUGAAAUCAGUUGCUUUGCUGAUCAACAAUGUAAGUGAGUUAUUUUUUAGGCAUUUGUUCAGUGUAGACUUGUCGAUACAUUACCGACAUACCAUUCAGAGCUGCCUCAAAGGAAUUCCAUGAAAACAGCCAAAUGAUCAAACAGGCAAGUCUCAACGAGGUAGGAAUAAGCCAAUCAAGGUUAAAAUGUGCCUGACUAGAGUUAAAGACUUUGACUGUAGCUUGCAGGACCUCCUGGAUAUAUUCUGGACAUUAUCCUGAGCUUUUGUUAGGGAUUGUUUAACUUUUUCACUUCCUCAAUAGUUAUUAAGAGAAAGGUACUAGCCUGGAGUGUGAAAAGUUAUUUGAACGGGAUUGGAAGCCAGAGGCCAAUAAAUAUUAUCCAAACCAAAUGGGGGAAUACAUCUAUAGAGAAACAUGAUGGAGCCACAGGCCUGUCUCAGAAGUGGGUAGUUUCUUCUGCAUGAUGAUAAGGGUGAGUGAUUCUUAAACAUUCUUGCACCGUUUUAAUAAGUUUCCAGUCAGUUUUAUCUGACUGAGCACUGUCAAAAGAACAUGGUCUGAAAACAUUUCAUUAUUUAUUAACUAAAUUCUGUAUGGUGUCCAGGUUGUUAAUGAUCAGUCCAGUCAGGGUCUUGUGUCUUCCAUUGGAAGGCAAACCGUUGGUUCAGUAGGAAUUCCCUCUUGGGGAGGGUGAUGAAACUCCAUAAUAGUCUAACCAGGAGGAUUACUAAAUUAAUCUUAGUGGCAUUAUCAUCUUGUGUUCCUCACUUUCCUUACUUCUUUUAUUUCUAUCUUUUUUAAAGUUCCAAAAUGAAGGGGUACAACAAAUGUAAUGAGAUAUAUGUGGUGUGUAUUACUGCAACUUAAUGUACU